rnacentral:rRNA from 1 species
UACGAAGGGGGCUAGCGUUGCUCGGAAUCACUGGGCGUAAAGCGCACGUAGGCGGAUUGCUAAGUCAGGGGUGAAAUCCUGGAGCUCAACUCCAGAACUGCCUUUGAUACUGGCGACCUUGAGUCCGGGAGAGGUGAGUGGAACUGCGAGUGUAGAGGUGAAAUGCGUAGAUAUCUGCAGGAACACCCGUGGCGAAAGCGGCGCGCUGGACCACAACUGACGCUGAGGCGCGAAAGCUAGGGGAGCAAACAGG